UCAGGACGAACGCUGGCGGCGUGCCUAAUACAUGCAAGUCGAACGGUCUUUCUAUGGAAGCUUGCUUCCACUGAGAAGAUAGUGGCGAACGGGUGAGUAACACGUGGGUAACCUGCCCAUAAGAGGGGGAUAACAUCCGGAAACGGGUGCUAAUACCGCAUAGUUUCUUGAUCGCAUGAUCGGGAAAGGAAAGACGGCCUUUGUGCUGUCGCUUAUGGAUGGACCCGCGGCGUAUUAGUUAGUUGGUGAGGUAACGGCUCACCAAGACGAUGAUACGUAGCCGACCUGAGAGGUGAUCGGCCACAUUGGGACUGAGACACGGCCCAAACUCCUACGGGAGGCAGCAGUAGGGAAUCUUCCGCAAUGGACGAAAGUCUGACGGAGCAACGCCGCGUGAGUGAAGAAAAGGUUUUCGGAUCGUAAAACUCUGUUGUCAGAGAAGAACAAGUUGGAGAGUAACUGCUCCAGCCUUGACGGUAUCUGACCAGAAAGCCACGGCUAACUACGUGCCAGCAGCGGC
rnacentral:rRNA from 1 species